UUAUACAGCGAAACUGCGAAUGGCUCAUUAAAUCAGUUAUCGUUUAUUUGAUAGUGCCCAUCUACAUGGAUAACCGUGGUAAUUCUAGAGCUAAUACAUGCGUAAAAGCGCGACUUCGGGAGCGCUGUAUUUAUUAGAUUAAAGACCAAUGCCCUCCGGGGCUCACUGGUGAUUCAUGAUAACUCCUCUGAUCGCACGGCCUUGCGCCGGCGACGGCUCAUUCAAAUUUCUGCCCUAUCAACUUUCGACUUUAGUGUAGUGGACUAAAGUGGUUGCAACGGGUAACGGAGGGUUAGGGCUCGACCCCGGAGAAGGAGCCUGAGAAACGGCUACUACAUCCAAGGAAGGCAGCAGGCGCGCAAAUUACCCAAUCCCGACACGGGGAGGUAGUGACAAUAAAUACUGAUACAGGGCUCUUUCGGGUCUUGUAAUCGGAAUGAGUACAAUCUAAAUCCUUUAACGAGGAGCAAUUGGAGGGCAAGUCUGGUGCCAGCAGCCGCGGUAAUUCCAGCUCCAAUAGCGUAUAUUAAAGUUGUUGUGGUUAAAAAGCUCGUAGUUGAACCUGGGCCCCGUCCCGGCCGGUCCGCCUCACCGCGUGCACUGGUUCGGGAGGGGCUUCGCACCUUGGGGGUACGCAUGCCCUUCGCUGGGCGUGCGGGGAACCAGGACUUUUACUGUGAAAAAAUUAGAGUGUUCAAAGCAGGCCUAUGCUCGAAUACAUUAGCAUGGAAUAAUAAAAUAGGACGUGCGGUUCUAUUUUGUUGGUUAUGGGACCGCCGUAAUGAUUAAUAGGGACAGUCGGGGGCGUCAGUAUUCGGUGGUCAGAGGUGAAAUUCUUGGACCCACCGAAGACUAACUACUGCGAAAGCAUUCGCCAAGGAUGUUUUCAUUAAUCAGGAACGAAAGUUAGGGGAUCGAAAACGAUCAGAUACCGUUGUAGUCUUAACCAUAAACUAUGCCGACUAGGGAUCGGGCGAUGUUGCUUACUGACUCGCUCGGCACCUUUCGAGAAAUCAAAGUCUGUGGGU
rnacentral:rRNA from 1 species